GGAUAAACGCUGGCGGCGUGCAUAACACAUGCAAGUCGAACGAUGAAGAUUAAAAGAUUUCUUCGGAAUGAACUUAAUUGGAUUAGUGGCGGACGGGUGAGUAACGCGUGAGUAACCUGCCUUGUACAAGGGGAUAGCCGUUGGAAACGACGAAUAAUACCCUAUGACAUCAAAUAAUCGCAUGAUAAUUUGAUCAAAGAUUUAUCGGUAUAAGAUGGACUCGCGUCUGAUUAGCUAGUUGGUAGAGUAAAAGCCUACCAAGGCAACGAUCAGUAGCCGGCCUGAGAGAGUGUACGGCCACAUUGGGACUGAGACACGGCCCAGACUCCUACGGGAGGCAGCAGUGGGGAAUUUUGCACAAUGGGGGAAACCCUGAUGCAGCGACGCCGCGUGAUUUAGAAGGCCUUCGGGUUGUAAAAAUCUUUUGUAUGGGAAGAAAAUGACAGUACCAUACGAAUAAGGACCGGCUAAUUACGUG
rnacentral:rRNA from 1 species